UACAGAGGGUGCAAGCGUUAAUCGGAAUUACUGGGCGUAAAGCGCGCGUAGGUGGUUCGUUAAGUUGGAUGUGAAAGCCCCGGGCUCAACCUGGGAACUGCAUUCAAAACUGGCGAGCUAGAGUAUGGUAGAGGGUGGUGGAAUUUCCUGUGUAGCGGUGAAGUGCGUAGAUAUAGGAAGGAACACCAGUGGCGAAGGCGACCACCUGGACUGAUACUGACACUGAGGUGCGAAAGCGUGGGGAGCAAACAGG
rnacentral:rRNA from 1 species